rnacentral:rRNA from 1 species
GAUGAACGCUGGCGGCGUGCCUAAUACAUGCAAGUCGAGCGAACGGACGAGAAGCUUGCUUCUCUGAUGUUAGCGGCGGACGGGAGAGUAACACGUGCAGAACCUACCUAUAAGACUGGGAUAACUUCGGGAAACCGGAGCUAAUACCGGAUGAUAUUUUGAACCGCAUGGUUCAAAAGUGAAAGACGGUCUUGCGGUCACUUAUAGAUGGAUCCGCGCUGCAUGAGCUAGUUGGUAAGGUAACGGCGUACCAAGGCAACGAUGCAUAGCCGACCCGAGAGGGGGGUCCGCCACCCGGGCAGGGAGACAGGGCCCCGACUCUUACGGGAGGCAGCAGCAGGGAAUCUUACGCAAUGGGCGAAAGCGUGACGGAGCAAAGUCGCGGGAGCGAUGAAGGUCUUCGGAUCGUAAAACUCUGUUAUUAGGGAAGAAGAUAUGUGUAAGUAGCUGUGCACAUAAUGACGGUACCUAAUCAGAAAGCCCCGGCUAACUACGUG